AACGAACGCUGGCGGCAGGCCUAACACAUGCAAGUCGAACGCAUCGCAAGAUGAGUGGCGCACGGGUGAGUAACACGUGGGAAUAUGCCCUUUGGUUCGGAAUAACGUCUGGAAACGGACGCUAAUACCGGAUGUCCCCUGCGGGGGAAAGAUUUAUCGCCAAAGGAGCAGCCCGCGUCUGAUUAGGUAGUUGGUGGGGUAAGGGCCUACCAAGCCGACGAUCAGUAGCUGGUCUGAGAGGAUGAUCAGCCACACUGGGACUGAGACACGGCCCAGACUCCUACGGGAGGCAGCAGUGGGGAAUAUUGGACAAUGGGCGCAAGCCUGAUCCAGCCAUGCCGCGUGAGUGAUGAAGGCCUUCGGGUUGUAAAGCUCUUUCGCACACGACGAUGAUGACGGUAGUGUGAGAAGAAGCCCCGGCUAACUUCGUGCCAGCCGCCGCGGUAAGAC
rnacentral:rRNA from 1 species